UAGCCAGACUCCUACGGGAGGCAGCAGUGGGGGAUAUUGCACAAUGGGGGAAACCCUGAUGCAGCGACGCCGCGUGGGCGAAGAAGUAUUUCGGUAUGUAAAGCUCUAUCAGCAGGGAAGAAAGAAAUGACGGUACCUGACUAAGAAGCCCCGGCUAACUACGUGCCAGCAGCCGCGGUAAUACGUAGGGGGCAAGCGUUAUCCGGAUUUACUGGGUGUAAAGGGAGCGUAGACGGCAGUGCAAGUCUGAAGUGAAAGGCGGGGGCCCAACCCCCGGACUGCUUUGGAAACUGUGCUGCUGGAGUGCAGGAGAGGCAAGUGGAAUUCCUAGUGUAGCGGUGAAAUGCGUAGAUAUUAGGAGGAACACCAGUGGCGAAGGCGACUUUCUGGACUGUACCUGACGCUGAGGCGCGAAAGCGUGGGUAGCGAACGGGAUUAGAUACCCCCGUAC
rnacentral:rRNA from 1 species